rnacentral:rRNA from 1 species
CCAUCGGCGUCGAAGGUAGGAGGACAACUUCUGCUGGAGCUUAUGGAAAAGCAAAUGUAGGUAUAAG